rnacentral:pre_miRNA from 1 species
GGGGGGAGGCCGGAUACUGGGCUGUUUCCCGGCGCCCUGUGCUCCGGGGCCUGCGCUGGUGGAUUCGCGCUCCCGCCCCGCAGCCCCCU